GCUCCUGAGCUGCGCAGCAUUGUGGACACCACCAGCAGCAGCAGCUCAUCUGGCUGUCUUUCCCUUUGCAUCAGCAGCCAUUACAGCUGACACAUAAAACUUUUUUUUUGCGUUUUCAAGCUGCAAGUGUUUUUUUUUGUGUGUGUUGUUUUUACCUCUCCGUUACAGAGUGGAGGCAUUCCUUGCGUGACAGUGGGUGUCCGAUUACCAACCGUGUGCCGCGCGGCUGGGACCCGUCAAGGAGCGCUCCCUGCAGAGACAGAGGACUGUUUUAUUCUUAUUAUUUCUAACGUGAUCGACACUCUUAAAGACACACAAGCUCUAAGGAUACUUCAUCUCCAGCCUGUCUGUAUUCUAUGUUACCUCACCACUCUUCUCUCCGGGACAAGACACGCAGCUCAGCUCAAUACUAGAUGAACGGGAGUUGGACACUUUACUCGGUGUUUCCUAUGGUCUUGGUCUCCGAGGCCUGAGGAGAAACAAGCCAAGCCCAGGCCCCCAUGGGACGCCAUUUUACCCAGCAUGCACUGCUGCUGCUGCAGUGCAUGUUGGUCCUACAUCUUUGCAGUGUGGCCAGUAGGAGAGGACCGGUGCUACUGCCUGAAUCUCCCUGCCACAAGACGGAGCACCCCCUGAUCCCACAUUCAGAGAUGGAGCCAUGGAUCUUCAGGUUCAAAGCAGAGGGCACGGUGGAUUAUUCACAACUGACCUUUGACCCUGGCCAGAAUGAAUUGAUUGUCGGUGCCAGAAAUCACCUCUUCAGGCUUAACCUUGAAGACCUGACAUUAAUCCAGGAGGCUGAAUGGCACUGUGAUGAGUUCACCAAGGGAGCCUGCUUCAGCCGUGGAAAAUCCGAGGAGGAGUGCCAGAACUACAUUAGGGUACUACUGGUUAAUGGGAACAGACUGUUUACGUGUGGAACCAAUGCAUUUACCCCCAUCUGCACCAACCGUACGCUGACUAACCUAACAGAGAUCCAUGAUCAGAUCAGCGGAAUGGCCCGAUGUCCCUACAACCCUCUGCAUAACUCCACCGCCCUAAUCACGUCUAGUGGGGAGCUCUAUGCCGCCACCGCCAUGGACUUUUCUGGCCGAGACCCGGCCAUCUACCGCAGCCUUGGCGGACUGCCGCCCUUACGCACCGCACAGUACAACUCGAAAUGGCUUAAUGAGCCAAAUUUCGUCUCCUCUUAUGACAUCGGCAACUUCACUUACUUCUUCUUCCGAGAAAAUGCAGUGGAGCAUGACUGUGGAAGGACUGUGUUUUCCCGAGCCGGCCGCGUCUGCAAAAAUGACAUUGGUGGACGCUUCCUACUGGAAGACACGUGGACCACCUUUAUGAAAGCCAGGCUGAACUGCUCCAGACCUGGAGAAAUCCCCUUCAAUUACAACGAGCUGCAGGGGACCUUCUACCUGCCAGAGCUUGAGCUGCUCUAUGGGAUUUUUACAACUAAUGUAAACAGCAUUGCUGCAUCUGCAGUGUGUGCCUUCAAUCUCAGUGCCAUAUCCCAAGUUUUUAAUGGACCCUUCAAGUACCAGGAAAGUUCACGAUCAGCUUGGCUGCCCUACCCAAACCCCAACCCAAACUUUCAGUGCGGCACCAUCAACUCUGGCUCUUAUGUGAACCUAACUCAACGAAACCUGCAGGACGCACAGAAGUUUCUACUGAUGCACGAGGUGGUCCAGCCUGUGGUUCCUGUUCCUUAUUUCAUGGAAGACAAUGUCCGCUUCAGUCAUAUUGCAGUUGAUGUGGUGCAAGGGAAAGACACACUUUUCCACAUCAUUUAUUUGGCCACUGAUUAUGGCACUAUCAGAAAAGUGCUGUCUCCUCUCAACCAGUCCACAGGGAGCUGCCUAUUGGAAGAGAUCGAGUUGUUCCCGCCCAGGAAGAGGCAGCCGAUACGGAGCUUGCUGAUCCUGCACAGCCGCAGCGAGCUUUACGUGGGCUUUAGGGACCAGGUCAUCAAGAUCCCUCUGAAGAGGUGUAGCUACCACAAGAGCAGAGAAGCAUGUGUAGGAGCCAGGGACCCAUACUGUGGAUGGGAUUUGUUGCUGAAAAAAUGCACCACUCUGGAAAAAAGUGUCAGAAUGAGCCAGUGGGAGCAGAGCAUCACAAAAUGUCCGGUCCGUAAUGUCACGGUCGAUGGAGGUUUUGGUGCUUGGUCAGGCUGGUCCGCCUGCACCCACAAUGAUGGAGGCAGCGCAGGGGCUUGUCUUUGUCGAACGCGGGCCUGCGAUAACCCUGCCCCUCAAUGUGGUGGCCAGAAGUGCUAUGGGAUCAGUGUUGAAGUUGCCAACUGCUCCAGAAAUGGAGCUUGGACUCCCUGGACCUCCUGGUCGCCUUGCAGCACCAGCUGUGGCAUAGGCUUCCAGGUGCGUCAACGCUCGUGCAGUAACCCAACCCCUCGCCAUGGUGGUAGAGUGUGUGUAGGACAGAACCGUGAGGAGAGGUACUGUAAUGAACACCUGCCCUGCCCUCCUCAUGUGUACUGGUCGGCCUGGUCGUCUUGGGAACGUUGUAAUGUGCCCUGUGGCGGAGGCAUCCAAUCACGACGUAGAACCUGUGAGAAUGGCGAUGACUGUCCAGGGUGUGGUCAGGAGUACCAAUCUUGCAACACUCUGCCGUGUCCAGACCUAAAAAAGACGACACCCUGGACUCCGUGGACCCCGGUCAAUAUUUCUGACAAUGGAGGCCACUAUGAGCAGCGUUUCCGCUACACCUGCAAAGCGCGGAUCCCCGACCCAAGUCUCCUAGAAGUAGGAAGACAGAGGAUUGAAAUGCGCUAUUGCUCCAGCGACGGGUCCACUGGCUGCUCCACUGACGGUGAAGUACUUCGCCUGGGGAGAAUCUCUGGCCACAUCGUGAAUGGUGGCUGGUCAUCUUGGAGUUCUUGGUCUCAGUGUAGCAGAGACUGCAGUCGGGGAAUUCGGAGCCGAAAGAGGACCUGCAGCAGCCCAGAGCCACGUUAUGGGGGUCAGACCUGCCUGGGCCCGGCACAGGAGUUCCAGGAGUGUAACGUCACUCCCUGUCCAGUGGAUGGCAGUUGGUCCUGCUGGUCAUCAUGGUCUAAGUGCUCUGUGACCUGUGGAGGAGGACACUACAUGAGGACCAGAACCUGCAAUAACCCUCCCCCAGCGUACGGAGGAGACAUCUGCCUGGGACUCCAUACAGAGGAAGCACUAUGCAACACGCAGGCUUGUCCAGAGAGCUGGUCCAGCUGGUCUGAGUGGUCCCACUGUGACUCCAGCGGCGCCCAGCUGCGAGUGCGUCACUGCAAUGUCCUUUUCCCCACUGGUAACCAGUGCUCAGGAAACAGCAGCGAGACGAGGCCCUGCUCUCCUGACUCCAACUUUAUACCAGAAGUCUCCAUUGCACGGUCCAGUCAGGAGGAGAGGCACUGCGGAGAUUUCAACCUAUUCCACAUGAUCGCUGUGGGCCUCAGCAGCUCGAUCCUUGGCUGCCUGGUCACCCUGCUCGUCUACUCCUACUGCCAGCAUUACCAGCAGCAGUCUCAUGAUGCCACCGUCAUCCACCCCAUCUCUGCCGCACCGCUCAAUACCAGCAUCACCAACCACAUCAACAAGCUGGACAAAUAUGACACGGUGGAAGCCAUUAAGCCAGACGUGUCGGUUCUCUUGCCUCUGGACGACCCUGCAAUGCACCAGCCUCUCUCUGCUAACAUGGGGGUCUCUAUGCGUGGACUGGAGAUUUUCUACUAACCAACCUCCUGACCUCAACAACAUCCCGCUUCCUGACUCCCCACACCAAACCCAAACAACUCUUUGACCCAUCAUCCAGUACUUCUUCCUCUUCCCCAAUGUGCCCUAUCCUUCCACCUCCUGGUUUCAACAAAAAUAAUCUGAUUCUGGAGGAAAGGAAUAAGUACUUCAACCCACAGCUUGCCGGGAAGACAUAUACCAAUGCAUACUUCUCUGAUCUCAACACCUAUGAUGACUAUUAACCCCAGACUUUUCUAGCGGAGAUCAUUACCCUGUUGUCAAUUAUGACUGUUUCAACACUCCUCGUGCUUUGCAUCAGAUCUGUAAAAGAUUAUGUAUGUGGUUCAGUCCCACUAUGAAACUCGAUGGCAGCUGGUAUGUAAUGAAAACACACUCUGGUUUUGCCCACUAAAGGAAAUGCCUACUUUCUCUCUGGUGCCUUGGGGUACAUUUGGAAAAUUUGGACUCACAAAAGAGAAAUAAACAACUGGAUCUCCGUUGCUGCAGACACUUUGGGGAGUGUCAUCCCAUCUAAGGUUUUUUUGUUUUUUUUCUGAUGCCCCCUAAGACAGCCCUGUAUGUGUAAUGAUGGAAGAGGACUACAAAUUGCUUUGCAUGACUUCAUCUGAUGUGUUUGCUUUGUUGUUCCGCUGCAAUUUGCAUGAUGGAUCACAUUCCAGGGUUCCAGAGACAGUUUUUUUAUGCUGCUCUUGUUUAUGGGAUUAGCUUCAGAAGUCUUAAAGCAAGUCUUCUGUUGGAAUGACCAAUGGUUUCUAACAUUUGCUACAACAGCAAUGUUCAAUCUGAAAGUUGGAUCAGUGUCCAGCUCCAGUCGUAGAAUCAGGAUGUAGAUAUUUGAUGUCUGUGAACAUAGUUUAUCCUAUUGUUUUACUUUGUUCUGUUGUUUUUCCAGCAGCUAAAAAAGCAAGCUAUCAGUGAAAAAAAAAAAGAUUUUCCCUUUCUUUGUGUUUUUGUACAGAAAAUUAUGUUUGAAGCCUCUGUCUAGAUUUUCUAUGCAUUCAUUCAUUGUUUUAAGCAUUUAGAGAUUAUCUUUUUAGAAGAAAACAGAAUUGUGUCUAUGUUUUGCCAAUUAUUUGAGAGCAUUCACAGAAAUGAAUUAAGUUGUUACCAUUGUACUUUUUAUAAAUAUUUUGUAAAAGAAAACUAAAAAAAAAAAAAAACAAACAUUGUUUUUGAAUUUUGACAGUGUUUACUAUUUCUUUAGCUUCUGAGUUAAAUAUGUUUGUGAAAGCAGGAUGUUAUUGGCAUUAGAUGAACAGGUGGAGGGUAGCAGCAGCUUCAGCCAUCUAUGUACCGUAACCUUACUGAGUUAUUUUCUAUUGGGUUCCUUUUGCCUCAGUUCCAACUAACUUCUUCUACAUGUUUGCUUGUGUUUUGUGCAUAAAUUAAAAUAGCUUCUUACAAGACUUGUCUAUUCUGAAUAAGAGGUUCAAAGUCUGUACAAAUACUUGUAAUGUUUUGUUUGAAAUUUGUUCUAAUAAAUGUUUUUUUUUUAUUAUUAUUA